GCUACUUUCUUUCCGGAGAUAUGUUCGAGGGAACGCUACGAAGGUAUUGCAACGCCCUCUGAGUAAAUGACGCUCAAACGUCAUGAAUAAUUGAAGUUCAAUUAUUGCUUUCCGGGCACUUCCGUAUACUCAUAAAGCUUCGUAAAAGAUGUUCUGGAGAAGACAAGUUAGUUAGAUGAAGGCUAGGCGUUCUAGGACUCUAGCUAGCUAGUAUAGCUAUGUAGCUGGAUUGCUUGGCACCUAGGAAGGAUCUUCGAAGAAAUAAAGAGACAAAGACUCCCGUCGCUCGAAUGGUGGUGGUAAGUGUCGGAGGCCUGAGAAACGCUAGUCUAUUGGCUAGAAUGUAAGUGACAUUGAUAUUGUGUCUAUCUUAACUUACUACUUAUCUGUAGGUUGUUAUGGAGUGUUUAUGAGGACACGUGGCACGGGAUACGUACAUCUACAGAAACAGAGUGGAUCUACGCCAAGCUAGCUAGCUAGAUAGCUGCUCUUUCUAAUCUAUUUCUGUUGCUAAAUUAUGUUUGUUAAGAAGUGGAGCUAUAAUAUACCUGGCUCCUCUUGAUGAUUGUAAGUACUGGGCUGAUGAAAUAGUCCUGUACAAGUUGUCAUCUUUUA